GAAAAUGCCGUCGGUUUCGAAAGCGGCGGCGGCGGCGCUGAGCGGGUCCCCCCCGCAGACGGAGAAGCCGACCCACUACAGGUACCUGAAGGAGUUCAGGACGGAGCAGUGCCCCCUGUUUUCACAGCACAAGUGCGCUCAGCACCGGCCGUUCACCUGCUUCCACUGGCACUUCCUCAACCAGCGGCGCCGCAGGCCCCUCCGCAGGCGCGACGGCACCUUCAACUACAGCCCCGACGUGUACUGCUCCAAGUACAACGAAGCCACCGGCGUGUGCCCCGACGGCGACGAGUGUCCCUACCUGCACCGGACGACGGGGGACACAGAACGCAAGUACCACCUGCGUUACUACAAGACAGGAACCUGCAUCCACGAGACAGACGCACGUGGCCACUGCGUGAAGAAUGGGCUGCACUGUGCCUUUGCACACGGCCCCCUGGACCUGCGGCCGCCCGUGUGUGACGUCAGGGAGCUGCAGGCCCAGGAAGCCUUGCAGAACGGCCAGCUGGGCGGCGGGGAAGGGGUCCCGGAUCUGCAGCCUGGGGUCUUGGCCAGCCAGGCCAUGAUUGAGAAGAUCCUGAGCGAGGACCCCCGGUGGCAAGUUUACGUGCAAGGUGAUCAGAUGGGGAAACUGAGGCUCGUGGAGUCCAAUACCAAGCCCUCCCCAACGGGGUGGGUGCUGAGUGGGAUUUGGGCCCAGGCGCCUUCCCCACACCUGCUCUGAAUCUCUGCGGCGACU
rnacentral:sRNA from 1 species